GACAAGGAAGUGUGUCUCCGAGGGAUAUAGGAUGAUGAAUUAUUAUUAUGAUUUUAUUAUCAAAGUCGUGCAACAAAAUUUCUUCAUUCAUUUGUAAAAGUAAGGCAUUGUAGUUCAUGAUAUUUAUGCUCUGAAGUUCUUGAUUGGAAGGUAACAUGUUUUCUAUUUUAUCAAAGAAAACUUGUGAGUUUAAAACAUGGUGGCUGGUUUGUGGCUUUAUCUUUCGUGGCAAUCUCGUUUGCCCUCGUCACAUUUAAUCUUGCUUUCAACCAUUAGCAUAUGUCAUUGACUUGCUGUAUCAUUGACCUAAACUCAGAUCAUUAAGAGUGACUCUAACACAAACACAAUAUCUCUAUUGUUGCUAUUUUCCUUGGACACAUCCUUUGAACCUUGGUAUUUCCGUGAAUUCCCAAACUUAUUUGUUGACAGAACUUUCUGCAUGCUUUAUUUUG
rnacentral:lncRNA from 1 species